UACGGGGGGAGCAAGCGUUGUUCGGAUUUACUGGGCGUAAAGGGCGCGUAGGCGGCCACCGCAAGUCGACUGUGAAAUCUCCGGGCUUAACCCGGAAAGGUCAGCCGAUACUGCGGGGCUAGAGUGCAGAAGGGGCAACUGGAAUUCUCGGUGUAGCGGUGAAAUGCGUAGAUAUCAAGUGGAACACCAGUGGCGAAGGCGAAUCCCUGGAAAAUACCUGACACUGAGGCACGAAAGCUAGGGGAGCAAACAGG
rnacentral:rRNA from 1 species